ACUACAUUGUGGAUGUAGGGUUCCUUUUUAAACCUAACCUACAACGACACAAAAAAUGUUGUUAGUUAAUGAUGUGCUCCUUCACUUUGGAGGUAACACUUGUGUCACCCAUUCCUUCAAAUAUGCGAACAGCAAAGUCAAAAACAAAACACUUACAGUAAAGGAGCAGGGACGUCCAAAUGAUGCCGCUCUGAGUCAGAUAAUAUCUUAUAAAAGCAGUUUGGGGGACGAGAACUGCAGCCCCUGCAAUGUUCUUGGAGCCGUCUGUCCAUCUCAUAACUCACAGCGCCGCACGAAAUUAGACUUCAGUGUCUUCUUUCAGGAUGGGUCCACUACUUUCUCAACAGCAAAGGUGGCUUCUGAUGCUCGAGUCUCUCUGAACACACGACCUGCUACAGGCACGGCAAAUUAGGAAGACAUGCAGAUAAUAUCAUUGUUUUCAUUUUCAACAAACAAACAAAAAGCUCGGACAGCCCACGCACCCUGUACUGGCAGUGAAAGUUGGCUGGCUACUAGCUGGGGAAUAUAGUGGAGCAUUUAACAGCAUUAGACACUUCUCUCAGGAGCUGGUGGAGACCAAAAACAGAGAUAAAAGGAAAGUGAAUCAUCA